rnacentral:rRNA from 1 species
CUAGCAUAUCAAUAAGCGGAGGAAAAGAAACCAACAGGGAUUGCCCUAGUAACGGCAAGUGAAGCGGCAACAGCUCAAAUUUGAAAUCUGGCUCUCGGGCCCGAGUUGUAAUUUGUAGAGGAUACUUUUGAUGCGGUGCCUUCCGAGUUCCCUGGAACGGGACGCCAUAGAGGGUGAGAGCCCCGUCUGGUUGGAUGCCAAAUCUCUGUAAAGUUCCUUCGACGAGUCGAGUAGUUUGGGAAUGCUGCUCUAAAUGGGAGGUAUAUGUCUUCUAAAGCUAAAUACCGGCCAGAGACCGAUAGCGCACAAGUAGAGUGAUCGAAAGAUGAAAAGCACUUUGAAAAGAGAGUUAAAAAGUACGUGAAAUUGUUGAAAGGGAAGCGUUUAUGACCAGACUUGGGCUUGGUUAAUCAUCUGGGGUUCUCCCCAGUGCACUUUUCCAGUCCAGGCCAGCAUCAGUUUUCGCCGGGGGAUAAAGACUUCGGGAAUGUGGCUCUCUCCGGGGAGUGUUAUAGCCCGUUGUGUAAUACCCUGGCGGGGACUGAGGUUCGCGCAUCUGCAAGGAUGCUGGCGUAAUGGUCAUCAACGACCCGUCUUGAAACACGGACCAAGGAGUCGUCUUCGUAUGCGAGUGUUCGGGUGUCAAACCCCUACGCGUAAUGAAAGUGAACGCAGGUGAGAGCUUCGGCGCAUCAUCGACCGAUCCUGAUGUUCUCGGAUGGAUUUGAGUAAGAGCAUACGGGGCCGGACCCGAAAGAAGGUGAACUAUGCCUGUAUAGGGUGAAGCCAGAGGAAACUCUGGUGGAGGCGGGCAGCGGUUCCCACGAGCAACCCGUUCAUCAAACAUGGGCAUGGGGGCGAAAGACUAAUCGAACCUUCUAGUAGCUGGUUUCCGCCGAA